UACAGAGGGUGCGAGCGUUGUUCGGAAUUACUGGGCGUAAAGCGCGCGCAGGCGGCCCUUUAAGUCUACCCGUGAAAUGCCGGAGCUCAACUCCGUGCACGCCGGGGGAUACUGGAGGGCUGGAGACAGGUAGAGGCAGGCGGAAUUCCGGGUGUAGCGGUGGAAUGCGUAGAGAUCCGGAAGAACACCAGAGGCGAAGGCGGCCUGCUGGGCCUUACCUGACGCUGAGGAGCGAAAGCUGGGGGAGCGAACAGG
rnacentral:rRNA from 1 species